GAUGCAUCUGCGUACUGGUCCUGGGUGGCGGCCACUUUGCUUGCAAACGUAUCUGUGGAGGAAGAAAAAAAAAAAAAAAGGCAGUGACACUCAAUAUUUUAGGUCCGUGGAGCACUGGAAGCUUCCGCGACGUACUCUAGGGUCAAAUCCCCUGACGGAAACCUCGUGACCAGGAGGAGGUUUUCCUCUUCUCUGGAGUUCCCCUCCUGUGGUCAGAACAAUGGGAUCUAGACAUCAGAAGUCAAAUGUUUGGUGUUGGCUGUGUUACCAGAUGAUCUUGGGUCAAUUUCUUUGCCCACAGGUAGCACAGUUCUUUGUGAAACUGAGCUUGCAGGGCAGCAUUUUUCAGAGUGAUCACGACCCGUCUACAUUAGAAUCACAUGGGGGUCCUCAAGCGUGAAUGGUACAAGGUUCCAUCCAGCUGGGCUGCAUCAGAAUCACCGGGGCCCAGGAAUCUGCUUUAACAACAUCCCAAGAGAUUAUAGGUCACUAAAGCUUGUGAAUGGCUAUUGGAGGGAAUUGCUAAAAGGUUCUGUAUCGACAGCUCUAGGUUACAGAUGAGGAAGCUAAGGUGUCAGGAGAUCUUUCCAAAGAUUCAAGAGCAAAUCCUCAGUGGAACUGAAGCUAAUUGAACCAUAAUAAUAGCUGGCAUUGGCCUAGAGCCUUAGGAAUAGGAAAGCUGACUCACCUACAUUACUGCACUGAUUGUGACAAUUCUAUGAGGGGGCACACUUUAUAGGUGAGGACACUGGGCUUCUGGAGAAUAAGUGAUGGGUGCAACAUCACGCAACAAGGGAGAAGCCAUCUCGUGGCUCGCGCUGGGACCUCCCGCCGUCACUGCAAGUACUUGUUCACUGCAGGCAGCAUCGUACCUUUCGCUAUGCCAUGCGUACCAGUGGCCAUUCUCAAAGCUUUGUUCACCAGUAAUCCCGAGUGCAUCUUCUUCUGAAGAUAGGAAAAUCGUGGUCCAUACAAGGAGUAGGACAAGUGACUGAUAUUCACGAUGAGUAGAGCAUAGGGCAUGUUUGUGCCAUCAAAUCCUGUCGUCACAACUGAAUGUGUGACCCCAGGUGGAUUACUUAAUUUCUCAAGCCUCGAUUUUCCAAUCUGUGAAAUGGGGAUAGUGACACCCACCUCGGGGUGCUGUUGAAAUGCUAUAGCACGGAUGCUAUGAAAGACGAAAGGAGGAAGGAAAUUUACUUAAAUUCGUAGAAUUCUGGCUCCACCAUUCGCCAGGUAAGAAGCUUACCUACUUCAGAGGGUUUUGAAAGAAACGUGUUAACGUGCGCAGCAUGCAGAUUAGGGCCUGAGACCUAAUGAGUGUUCAGCAUUAUUGGCUAUUUUUAUAACCCAGUAGCACCAGAUCCUAAGAGAAUAAGUGGUGGGGAAUUCUGACUUAACGUGAUAAUUCUAAACUUUCAGGGAGUUAUAACAUCCUUUAAAGACUGCCUAACUUUAUGAUCAUAUGCAUUUAAAAAUGCGAUAAAGCAUAAAAUUAUUCUCAAAAAUCAAAGCGAUUCUUUAUUUUGAAAAUUUCAUAUAGCCUGAGUCAUGGAAUGGCAUUGGAGCUCUUCUAGUUUUAAGGCUCUAAUCUCACUAGUGACUGAAAGGCAAGCAGGCAGGCAUCUAUUCUCCUUUAGGCACUUUUUGUCUUGCUUUUUUAGAAUUCAAAUGAAAAUCAUUUACAUGCGAAUUCUUCUGUCACUGAGGACUUUGAACAAGAUUUUGUCUUUAGUUGUGACAUUUACCCAAGUAAAUACGAAAACCACACUGCCUCACACACGCACUCCAUUGGUUCAUCUCAAAAGAAUCCUUAUUUGACUUUCAGGUGAAGUGCAAGAGGUCAAGGAAUUACUGAUGUUGAUGGAUUAAUGACCAGUUAGGAGUUGUAAAAACAGAAAAAGGGAAGAACACUUCAAUGAGAUUUCUGCCCAUAAAAGCUCCCUGAAAGAGUGUAAAAAAGAAAUGGAGAUGGUGACGUGACUUAUUUUUAGAAGGGAACAGAGGUAAGUAAGCUCCAGAGGAUUCAUGUUGGUACAUCUACUCAUUUUUAUCCCCAACUGCAAAUCAGAAGCACCAGGGCAACAUUUGAAAAAUACUAGCUUCCUAGCCCCACCCAAGCUUCUGUUUAAUUUGUCUGGAGCACCAGUAUUUUUUAAAGCUCCCCCAACCAGACUGAGAUCCACUAACCACUCAGAGCCUUUGUUUCUUCAUCCGUGUGAGGACAGUGGCACCUCCCGGAUAGCGUAUGGAAUAGCCCUGACGCACAGAUCGUCGAAAACCAGCCUUGUUUUGUUACCAAAUAACUGUUUUCGUUUUGAUGUCUUUGCAAGGGUACCUCCAGGACUUUGUUUUCCUGUUUUGUAUUUGAAAUCCUGGGAGAUUUGAAAUUCAAAGAGAUUAAUUCUAAUUAAAAGGGAAAAGUAAUGGGGGUUUGUUUUUCUGAGGAACACAAAGUGGAGGAGAGAGUGAACACAAACCAACAGUGCUAUUUGAUCUGCCUUCCAAAGUGUAAUUUGAUCCGUGCUCUCAAAAGAACAUGAUAAUACUCCACUCUUAAACACACCCAUAAUGGGAUGAUUGUUCAGUAUGAUGUCUGAAGAUUCAAGAGAGGAUCCAAGGUUCCCCUUCCUUGUUUAAACGUCUAGCUUCAUGAGGUUUGCUGAAAUUUUCUCAAAUCCCUGGUUCUAAAUCUUUGAGGUCAACAACAACUUUUGAGCCUCUCAAAGAACUCUAAAGGUUUGUCUGAGAUGGGGCUAAUUCAAUUCAAUUCAAUUCAUUCUGUUCAAUUCUAUUCACUCCUCCCCAUGCCCACUCUUGACCUUGAAAAAAGCCCUAAACCAACUAGCUGGGUGUGUAGCAAAGAAGUGGUAUUCUGACCUGGUUGUCUCCUGAGACUUGCAUUAACAUGGUCUUGGAGUGGACCAGAUUAUGUAUGUUAAGUGGGUUUGGUACUUUCACUUUGGGGGUCUUGCUUGUCUAUUUCCCCACAUAAAAAGGUUUAUGCAGAUUAUUGUGGUGGAAGUUGCAACGUGUGCCUGAUAAAAUAAGGGGUGCAGGGUUGACUGACUUGAGAGAAGUCUCCUGUCUCUGUUCAAGUGGUAAACAGGCAGCUUGAUGAUGACCAUAGUAUUCCACAGUUCCCACUGGGUUCAUGUGAAUCAUUGGUUCUGCUUGGCAUUGAGAGCCUUAGUAAGCAGAGGUCACUGUCCAUAGUUCAUUUGGUCACCUGGUUCCAUGUUACUUUGUGGUUAACCACUGUUGUUACUGAAGAAUGCCAGUGCUGAUUACUGUGGACUGCAUAAUGUCUCUAGUUAUAGUAGGAAGGAGCCUAAGCUAUGGAGUAAGACCUGGUCCUGGUCCCAUUUACCAUGUACUGGGUGUGUGGCCUUGGGAUAACCUCUCUUUAAGACUCUGAUAUCUGUAAAAUAGCGAAAAUAAAAGUCCCUAUUUAUAUAGCCAUAAAGAUGAUCAAAAGAAGCACUACAAAACGGCUCAGGAUGGUGUCUGGAAGUUAGUAGGUGCACAGCGAAUAUUUCCUAUUUCAGAAUUCUUUGUUCUGGUGAUAACAAAGGGAAUGUUAAUGAUAUUAACCACUUUUUAUUAUGGUUUCCUUUAGCUAGGCGAUUUAAGGUUAAUAAACCUAUAGGAUUUAGGGAGAAUGUGUUUCUGUCUUUGAUGUCCACAAAUGAUAGUGGUGAUAAGGGCAGUGAUAGUUAACAUUUAUGAGGCUCCUAGGCGAGGCUCUAUAUAUGGCUUCCCAUCAGGGCACCUGGGUGGCUCAGUCGGUUGAGUGUCUGACUUCAGCUCACAGUUCGUGGGUCUGGACCCCACAUCGGGCUCUGUGCUGACAGCUCAGAGCCUGGAGCCUACUUCGGAUUCUGUGUCUGUCUGUCUCUCAAAAAUAAAUAAACAUUAAAACAAUUAUAUAUGGCUUCCCAUGUAAUCUACAAGACAAUUGUAUGAAGUAGGAACUUUUAUUAUCUUCAUUUGAUAGAUGAGAAAAUUGAAUCUCUGAGUAUAUAAAGUUGGCUAAAGUUAUAUAGCCAAUAAGAGGUGACACUAGUAUUCACAAACUAAUGUGCUCCUAGCCAGAAUUCAUGUUCUUAACCACAAGUGCACUGUGUAUUGACUGACUUUAUGCAUAAGAGCAUGGGGUGUUGACAAGGACUAAAUAACAUACCUGAAAUUUGAAAAUGGGCAAAGGGUUCCAAGAAAAUAUCCAGAAACCUUAUAAUGUUCACCUCUGACUAUAACUACACAAUA